GGGCGUGUAGCUCAGCGGGAGAGCACCGCGUUCGCAACGCGGGGGUCGGGGGUUCAAAUCCCCUCUCGUCCACCA
rnacentral:tRNA from 1 species